GGGGAAUAUUGCACAAUGGGCGAAAGCCUGAUGCAGCGACGCCGCGUGCGGGAUGAAGGCCUUCGGGUUGUAAACCGCUUUUGAUUGGGAGCAAGCGAGAGUGAGUGUACCUUUCGAAUAAGCACCGGCUAACUACGUGCCAGCAGCCGCGGUAAUACGUAGGGUGCAAGCGUUAUCCGGAAUUAUUGGGCGUAAAGAGCUCGUAGGCGGUUUGUCGCGUCUGGUGUGAAAGUCCAUCGCUUAACGGUGGAUCUGCGCCGGGUACGGGCAGGCUAGAGUGCGACAGGGGAGACUGGAAUUCCCGGUGUAACGGUGGAAUGUGUAGAUAUCGGGAAGAACACCAAUGGCGAAGGCAGGUCUCUGGGUCGUCACUGACGCUGAGGAGCGAAAAGCGUGGGGAGCGAACAGGAUUAGAUACCCUGGUAGUCCACGCCGUAAACGGUGGAUGCUGGAUGUGGGGCCCAUUCCACGG
rnacentral:rRNA from 1 species